UGGUGGAGUGAUUUGUCUGCUUGAUUGCGUAAAACGAACGAGACUCUAGCCUGCUAAAUAGAUUGGCGAUCUCAUAGGUCAACCAAACGCUUCUUAGAGGGACAAGUGGCGUCUCAGCCACGCGAAAUUGAGCAAUAACA
rnacentral:rRNA from 1 species